ensembl:lncRNA
UGUGACUCAGCUCCAAAGGGAGCUAUGACAUCUGAUUCAGACUGUGGAGUGGGAGGUACAGCAGUUUUCAAAACACUUCAAACCACAAAACCUCCACUGAAUAAGGCCCUUCAUUAAAUUUUAUUUUCUCUGCUGUGCUGACAGGGACAGGCCCAGUCAGGCCAUUUAGAGUGAGUGCCCCACCCCCCGGAUAACUAACAGGAACUAUGUGGUUCCUCUACUGGGAACUGAAUUUACAAGAAGAGAAACAAAGAAAAUCCCACUGAUUAAAACUAGUCUGAUCACAUUGUUCAGAUCAUAAAUUAUCUUUAGAUUCUUUCUUUGAAUUAUAAAUGACAAGUGGCAAGAUGGCAAUCUGUUCUUUUAAACGUCACUUUCUCAAAUGUAAAAGACAGAAGCAUGUAUGUUUGGGAUGACUGGAGUUGAACUUGUUCUGAACUAACGGCCAGGUGCUGUGCAAGUUAUAUUUUAAUUUUUUUAUGACACAAUGUCAUUAAAGACAGUGCCACAGUCACUGCCAUCAGUUUAUCAUUGGGUCUUAGUGUUUUACAGGACUUUGUAAAACUGUAAAGGCUGUUUUACACAUGGAUCAUGGAAAAAAACAUGACUAUUAUGAAACAAAUUUUAUGUUUUAAUAUCAGAUAUAAAGAAAAAGGUCAGAAUGAAAAACUUAACCAGAAUUUUUUAAAUAAUAUCUAAAGAUUUGUAUAAGGGAAUAUUAAAUGUAUAUCUUUAACCCUUUAGUGCUGCAGUGCCUGGUGAAAAACAUACAGAAACAGAAGGCCAAACUGAGAUCAGUUUGUUGUGACUAUUUUUAGACUUGAUCAGCAGGAUUCUUGUAAAAGCAGGAGCAUGAGAGGACCUGCAGAAACACGCUCAGUUUCAUGAAGGAAAAAAUAACAUUCAUUUCUAAAGAAAUAAAGGCAAACCUUUUCUGUUUCAGUAAUGCACAAGGAAUUUUCUUUGAGCUCUGUCAAUAAACCAAGAUCCCUAGAAACCUUUUACUGUUUAUGUGUUCACACAUCAACUGUUUGCAACAUGAUUUGAAAAGUCUGCCUUAUUUUCUGUUAAUAAACAAAGGAAAUAAGAGAAACCUUAUAUCAUACUGAUGAGGAACUGCUUUGUUCUCCCUUAAAACCCAGCGCUGAAUCAAGUAAAGUAAAGUACAACCCCUGCACCUUGUAAUAAGAGCUUCGCUUUGUUGUCUCUAAUUACAUGAGCAGGCCCAGACUAGCUAGGAGGAUUAUUAUCAGGAGACACGCAAGGAUGUUUUAAAAAAAAUGCUCUAAGGAUUAACUGGGUGGAUAAUGAAUGGGUAUCUGUGUUUUUCCAUCUGUGGUUACUUGGAGCAAAGCCCAGAGGGUGUGUUGCAUGUACUUUAG